UCCCACAUAGGCUGUUCCUGCUGGCUGCCCAGUGCCAGGUCUCAUCCCUUUGGGAUCAGGGAUGUCUGUGGCUCUGGGCAGAGGACAUGGGAGGUGCUCCUUCAGGACAU
ensembl:miRNA gga-mir-6601 gga-mir-6601